rnacentral:lncRNA from 1 species
CCAAAGCAAAACAGAAACUAUCCAAGUCUACGUCGUUGCUGUCCCACAAUGCACAGCUUUUGAAGAUCUCAUGCAUGUAGACUAUGUUUGGAUUUUACAAAAAGAAAAGAGAGCAUCAUGUACUGCUCAUCUGUGGUGACUAUAUGCAUAUGGGUUUAGGUUUGGGAGGCAAAGGAGAAGAUGGUAUGGAUCCAAUGGAUUGGCAAGCAGCCAUUUGCUGUGUUUGACCAGCAAACGGUUGCUCUUGAUCUCUAGAGCGGGU